rnacentral:rRNA from 1 species
GCGAUAACCUCGGGAAACUGAGGCCAAUAGCGGAUAUAACUCUCAGACUGGAGUGCCGAGAGUUAGAAACGUUCCGGCGCUGUAGGAUGUGGCUGCGGCCGAUUAGGUAGAUGGUGGGGUAACGGCCCACCAUGCCGAUAAUCGGUACAGGUUGUGAGAGCAAGAGCCUGGAGACGGUAUCUGAGACAAGAUACCGGGCCCUACGGGGCGCAGCAGGCGCGAAACCUUUACACUGCACGACAGUGCGAUAGGGGGACUCCGAGUGUGAGGGCAUAUAGCCCUCGCUUUUCUGNACCGUAAGGUGGUNCAGGAACAAGGACUGGGCAAGACCGGUGCCAGCCGCCGCGGUAAUACCGGCAGUCCAAGUGAUGGCCGAUAUUAUUGGGCCUAAAGCGUCCGUAGCUUGCUGUGUAAGUCCAUUGGGAAAUCGACCAGCUCAACUGGUCGGCGUCCGGUGGAAACUACACAGCUUGGGGCCGAGAGACUCAACGGGUACGUCCGGGGUAGGAGUGAAAUCCUGUAAUCCUGGACGGACCACCGAUGGGGAAACCACGUUGAGAGANCGGACCCGACAGUGAGGGACGAAAGCNAGGGUCUCGAACCGGAUUAGAUACCCGGGUAGUCCUGGCUGUAAACAAUGCUCGCUAGGUAUGUCACGCGCCAUGAGCANGUGAUGUGCCNUAGUGAAGACGAUAAGCGAGCCGCCUGGGAAGUACGUCCGCAAGGAUGAAACUUAAAGGAAUUGGCGGGGGAGCACCACAACCGGAGGAGCCUGCGGUUUAAUUGGACUCAA